CCGAGUCCCGUUUGCCCAUCGAGCGAGCGGACAACGACCGAUGGGAGAAUGAUGUCUUCAGUGCAUCUAGCAGGUUCAUCACGAUUUGAAUGAACUGAGUCAGCCGAAAUGCAAAAGUAGAUAGAGAAGCAAUAAUAUAAACAGAGAAUAAAGAAAUUACGUUUUUUUCAUUAAACUACUCAAGAACAUACAUACAUAUGUAUGUAUAAACGAAGAUUUAAGUAUAAAUAUUUAUUUAUAAAUGUGUGCGUGUGCUAAUAGCUGUGUAAGCUUGCCAAAGUGUGCAUAGGUAACUAAAGUACACAGCUUGUUUCGCCAUCGAAUUCACUUGAUCGGGAUCUUUGGUACCAAGCACUGAUGACAGCACAGCAGCUAAGAUGUUCUGUUGCAAGCGAGAAACCACACAAAACCAAUAAUUCCACACACCAUUCAGUUUGAGAUAGUUUUCAAUAUUUUAUGUAUUGAUUUGUUUUGUACAAGAACAACAAAAAUAAUGGUAAAACAAAAA